CAACUCUGAAGGCCUGAAGUGGCCACACAGAGAACCCGGGUUUUCCGGAGACCAAGGAUGAAGCUCCCUAUGAUUCUGCACCACCCUGUCUGUCCCUAACUUCGCUCUCUGGGGACCCAGCAGCAGCCACAGUGGCAGCACUGCCCUCCCGUGCCACCUGAUUGGCUGUCAAACCCUGCAGCUACCCCAAGCAAGCUGGCUACCUCGGUGGCCCCACAAAGCCACAGCCGUGCUGUGAAGCAGAGCUCCCUUCCCUGACCCGAGAGACACAAUGGAGCCUGGGCCGGAUGGAGAUGCCGACAAAACCCCAGGGGGACCACGUGUGACUACACGAAGCCUGGACACACCACGUGUGGAUGGGGCCUUCACCGUGCUUCCAAGUGACAGCUCUUCCCUGGUACACACCCAAUACUGUGUGCCCACACUGCUCCCAGCCUCCACCUGCUCUCCAAAUGACUCAAGUCCUCAAGGAUGACCAAGAUCCAGCCCUUCCUGCAGCGGGGACCCUGUGAGCUUCAGAGCCUCAAGUGCAAACCCGCAGGACACGAAUCGGCAGAUUUAAGUCACCCCCAAAAUGCUCCGACCUGAUCGUCCCCUCCUCAUCCUCCUCCCCAAGAAAGCUUAAUUUUAAAGGUGAUUUCAUCUCCAGCUUGCCGAGACAACGUAACUCAUUAGCUUAUACAGCUUUCUAGUACCCCUCGGAAUGAUCUUUAAAUGAAUGCAGAACUGCAUAGCUUGCCAAUAGAAUCGAAUUCAACGCGGCCAGGCAGACUGGACUCCGAGAGGUAGCUAAAGAAAGCAACACCAGAAAACUUGCACCAUAUUUAGCAGUUUUACUACAGCGGGAUACAGAAACGGCCCUGGAGGAGCGCGGCUGGAAGCCACUCGGAGCCUCGUUAGCGUCUGGCCCCAGCUCCAGCCCCAGCCCCACUGCUGUGGGACGAGAGGCUGGCUGGACUAGACACACAGUGUCCUUGGGCAAAGCAGAGGAGGGUGUCAGGAUCGCAGAGUGUCCAAGAAUCACAAGCAAUAAUGUGCGAAUCCCAAAGAUGUUUGUUUACCUUGGCUAUUAUUGUAGAAUAGUCAGAGUAUAACAUCAUGAACCAAAACAAUGUCAAAACAAAAUCUGUUCUGCUGUGGCACGUAUGUGACAGAGAAACAUGCACCCAAAGUACAUCAAAAGGCUCGAACUCUGGGGACUCGGAUGGUGAGUCAUUCCCAGGCUUGAUAUCAGAGGCCACCUCAAUCAUCAGACUUUAUCGAGAAGCCAGGGCCCAGGGAAGGUCUUGGUGGCCGAGCCCUCAGCCUUCCUCCAAGCUCAAGCAUCUGGGCUUUAUGGAGUGACACCCACUUCAGUGCCACAGCUGCCUCCCAGAGAAAGCCCAGGGCACUUGGCUGUCACACCGAGGUCAGCCUGGCCCACCACGGAGGACUUAAUCAUUAAUUGAAGGAAAAAGUACUGUUUCACCCCCUAGGGCUUUUUUUUCCAUCUCUGGCCUUCUUCCUGUCUUAAAUACAAAGGACGUGGAGAUGGAGAAAA
rnacentral:lncRNA from 1 species